rnacentral:pre_miRNA from 1 species
CUGCACGGGCAGAAUUGUUUGGUCAGGCUACUGGUUAUAUUCCAGGACUUGUCCAGUUCUGGGUAUAACCAAAUCCCAACUCAAUGGUGUGAAAU